rnacentral:rRNA from 1 species
UCCCCUAGUAACUGCGAGUGAAGAGGGAUAAGCUCAAAUUUUAAAUCUGAUGGGUUCUAAUUAUCAAAAUUGUAAUUUGAAAAAACGUUUUCUGUGUCUUGUUAACCUAAAUCUUUUGGAACAAGGUAUCAUGGAGGGUGACAAUCCCGUUCAUGGUUAACAUCAAGAUACGUUACGAUACGUUUUCUGAGAGUCGAGUUGUUUGGGAUUGCAGCUCAAAAUGGGAGGUAAAUUUCUCCUAAGGCUAAAUAUUGGCGAGAGACCGAUAGCGAACAAGUACCGUGAGGGAAAGAUGAAAAGAACUUUGAAAAGAGAGUUAAACAGUACGUGAAAUUGUUGAAAGGGAAACGAUUGAAGUCAGUCGUACUAACGGGAAAUCAACCUAUUUGGGUUGUGAAUUUUGGAUUUUGAAGAGUGUAAACCUUCGGGUUCAAAUAUUCGCGCUUUUUGGGCGUAAUUUCUCGUUCGGUAGGUUAACAUCGAUUUUGAAUAUUAUAAAAUGACUGGAGGAAUGUAGCUUCGAUCUCGUAUUGAAGUGUUAUAGCCUUUGGUAGAUGUAAUGAUCAAGAUCGAGGAUUGCAACGAAUACCCU